UGGAAGUGGGCGGGAGUCAACGAUUGCAGGCCUCCCGUCCCAUGGCUGUGUGGAACAAAAGGGAAACCUGCUGUGAGAAUUGGGCGGCAGAGGAAAUCGAAAUGAAGGAAGAAAAAGGCAGGGCUCUGAGUGGAGAAGAAGAGGGGCGGAGCGGCGGUCAACAUUUGCGGCGGCAAAAGGGAGAGAAGAGAAAAGGGGGAAA
rnacentral:lncRNA from 1 species